AAGAGUAAUCUACAAGAGAGCAUGGCACACCAGGCCACCAUAGCCUGGCAUCAAAGGAGUGGAUCCAACACUGUGGACUUCUGGGUGAAGAUUGGGCAGAAGAAUUCAAAGGCACUUGUUUAAGCCAGAGGACCUGGGAGACGCAGCAGUAUUAUGGCCCUACUGCACUGUCCUAAUAUGCAAGGAAACACACACAGUAGGUUCACUGUGCUCGGACACAUGAAACAAAGCAAAGACUGCUGCCCUAUUCGAUAAAUGUAUCUGAACUGCCUAUGAAAGCAACGCUGUCAGAAUAAACAUUUUGUUUACUACACAGCCCUGCUUACAACUGUCAACAGAGAAAUAUAAAAGGAGAUUUAAGUCUUCAUUCCUAGAUAGUGAACUCCUGUGUGCUUCUACAAUGCAGGUCAUUACAGACUCGGCUGCCCCCUGAGAUGGAGCAAUUCUCGUGCACAUUGUAACAAAGGGCCGCGGGUCUGGCAGCGUGGGAGUGGACUGGGCCACUUAGAUAAGUUUCAUUCACUGUAGGAGCCCAAGGGAACAGUGCAUCAAGGCAGCUGCACCGCCUCAGUUCGUGGUGUAACUUUACACUAUUUUCCCUUUAAGUCGCUACUAAUCCCUUGGGUUUACAUGUUUUUGGGGCUGCAUCAGAGAAAAGCAGUGUGAAAUUGCCUGAAAGCCUCCUUAUAAAUAAGACUUACGAUAUAGACCAGCUCUGUUGAUGAAAAGACUGAGAGAAUGCCCUUGAGGGCCCCAAGAGCCAUUUUACAAGGCUCCCACUGUGAUUUUUUUGGUCUCUAUCUGACUGCUAAAAAGAAAUUACUAAGUAGGUUAAAAAUCUCACCGGCCCAAAAUUCAGUUAGAAAUGAAGCCUUAGCAUUAACAUAAAUCCUGUCUACAUAUUUACUAACCAAUAUUGCUUGUUUAAAUUUCAUCUUCUUUUCUAAAAGAUAUCUUACCCCUUUUGACACACAGGAGAAAGAAAAAAAAAAAGCAGGAAAUUGGGAUCAGAGAUUAGAACACUAGCCUAAGUUUCCAAGAACUCUGGAUUUGCUUCCUAAAGGAGGUACAAGGCACCAGUAUGGGGCAUUUACAUGCUUCAUCUUCUUAGGUGAAUUCUUUGAAGUAUUAUUGUUCCAUUUUGAAGAUGAGGAAACUGAGGCUAGUAAAGACAAGACCAUUCAUUUAGCAUGGGAGUGUCUUACUUUAAAAUAAUCAUGCUUUUUCUCGUAUUGCCGAUCAGAGAAGCUAGAGGAAGUGUCCCUACUAGCAAAGAGGACAUGGGGAGCCGAUAGAAAAACCCUCUCCCCUCCUUGUUCCCUUGGGUUCUUCAGUAUCACCAGUGGAUCUCUCCUGUUUACUCUUAUGCUUCUGGAAAUUGGUCUGACUUCCUACCCUGCUCCUUUUACGAAAACACUAACUCCUCUUCCUCCUCCCAUUUCCUAACACUCUGUCCUGUCCACCCCACCCUGCCUCCCUUUGGUUUUCCUACUCUCUAAAUCCUCCUACAAAUAGCCAUUUGGAAACAAUUUCAAGAUCCACCUACUUUCCUGUGCAUCUGUCUUUUGUAAUUUAGAGGUUAGGGACUGUGUGUUUUCUACUUGUCAUGUUUAUGCCUCAUACUCUGUGGGUAUCUAAUAAAUGCUGAAUAAUAGCAGCUUUAAGACAGUGUAGAACCAGAAACACAGGUUCUCAUGUUUAGCAUUUCAUCACCAGCAAGGAACAUUUAUUCACUGUCAGCACUAUGCUGGGCACUAAAAUGAAGUUAAUUACUAUAGCUGGACUCCUCUUGUUGUACACCUUGGCAUUUUACUUUUCUAUCUUAUUGUCUUGACGAA